GUGGCGAACGGGUGAGUAACACGUGAGCAAUCUGCCCUUGACUCUGGGAUAACUGCGGGAAACUGUAGCUAAUACCGGAUACUUUCCUCGCUGGGCAUCCAGCGGGGAAGAAAGAAUUUCGGUCAAGGAUGAGCUCGCGGCCUAUCAGCUAGUUGGUGAGGUAAUGGCUCACCAAGGCGACGACGGGUAGCCGGCCUGAGAGGGUGACCGGCCACACUGGAACUGAGACACGGUCCAGACUCCUACGGGAGGCAGCAGUGGGGAAUAUUGCACAAUGGGCGAAAGCCUGAUGCAGCAACGCCGCGUGAGGGAUGAAGGCCUUCGGGUUGUAAACCUCUUUUAGCAGGGAAGAAGCGAAAGUGACGGUACCUGCAGAAAAAGCACCGGCUAACUACGUGCCAGCAGCCGCGGUAAUACGUAGGGUGCAAGCGUUGUCCGGAAUUAUUGGGCGUAAAGAGCUCGUAGGCGGUUUGUCACGUCUGCUGUGAAAAUCCGAGGCUCAACCUCGGACUUGCAGUGGGUACGGGCAGGCUAGAGUGCGGUAAGGGAGAAGGGAAUUCCUGGUGUAGCGGUGGAAUGCGCAGAUAUCAGGAGGAACACCAAUGGCGAAGGCACUUCUCUGGGCCGUAACUGACGCUGAGGAGCGAAAGCGUGGGGAGCGAACAGGAUUAGAUACCCCGGUAGUCCAC
rnacentral:rRNA from 1 species